UUUCCCAUUUGACUACCACAUUUUCUCCUGUAAUAGAUUUUAGAGGCUAUGCUUAUAGGAUAGAGUAAAGUUGCCAUGAUCUGAAGAGGGAGGGUUUUUCAGUNNNNN
ensembl:snoRNA